GUGUCUAUUGAAAGGAGAGACGGUUAGCACUCCCCUUGACAAGGAUGGAACACACAAAAUGGUUAAGGGCACAAUCUUGACCACAUUUUUUU